GAAGGUUUAGUUAAAUUAAUAACAUUAGAAUGUCAAACUAAAAUUAUCAAAAUUUUGAUAACUUUCU
rnacentral:tRNA from 1 species